UCCUCUCCUCUCUCUCUCUCUCUCUCUCUAUGGAGAAGCCAGAGUCCUCAAGCUCAAUGGCAGAGGCAGAACAAGAGCCAAGUUACACAGCUCAUCAUUUGACGAUUCCACUAGGAUUGAAUCAGUCCGAGUUGGAUGAGUUAGCUCCACUCAUCUCUGAGUUCCACACCUAUAGAAUCGGCCCAGGCCAAUGUUCUUCUCUAUUAGCCCAACGCAUAAACGCACCAAACGACAUCAUCUGGUCCAUAGUCCGUUGUUUCGACAAGCCUCAGACCUAUAAGCACUUUAUCAAGAGCUGCACCGUGGAGCCAGGUUUCACAAUGAGGGUGGGGUCCACCCGUAAUGUCA
rnacentral:misc_RNA from 1 species